rnacentral:rRNA from 1 species
UACGAAGGGGGCUAGCGUUGUUCGGAAUUACUGGGCGUAAAGCGAACGUAGGCGGUGUUCCAUGUCAGAGGUGAAAGCCUGGGGCUCAACUCCAGAAUUGCCUUUGAAACGGGAACGCUUGAGUCCGAGAGAGGAUGGCGGAAUUCCUAGUGUAGAGGUGAAAUUCGUAGAUAUUAGGAAGAACACCGGUGGCGAAGGCGGCCAGCUGGCUCGGUACUGACGCUCAGGUUCGAAAGCGUGGGGAGCAAACAGG